rnacentral:lncRNA from 1 species
ACGACUAUUAGCUUAAAAAGAUACAACAAGAAAAAAUUUUUAUUUUGAUAUUUAUUGAAGGACUAUCAUAAAUUAUAAAAGAAUUGUUGGUUUACGUCAUUGUAAUGAAUGUUCCACUUAAUAACCAUCGAUGGUCAUCUAUUAGAUCUCUUACUUCACCCAACGUAAAAUCAGCUGAAUAUAAUUCGCCUUUAAAAAGAGUUCUUUUUCUCAAAACGUUUUCUAGAAGAAUAGAAAGUUGAUCCUUCGAACAAGAUGCUGGUAAACACAUACCGAGUAUUAUGAAAUCCUACGCAAACAAAAAUCAAAAUUUUGAAUAAAAUUGUUAAAAUCACUAUUUUGAAAUUCAACUUAUUUGCGACCACCGAAAUGAUUUUUUCUUCCUGUGUCGUACAUAAAAAUUAUUUUCGAUCGACAAAAAAAAGAAAUUUGUAUUUUAUUUCUUUUAUCAAGUAGUCGAUGCAAGCGGCGAGCCAAAGACAGGAUUUAUUUAUGGAAAUAAUUAUUGGUUGGGUAGUAGAAGCCAAUGCGAAGACGCAAAAAACAGAGAUCUUCUCAUAUUAUCGGAAAAGUUAUUACGGAACAAUUCCAGAUUUCGUCCUUUCGAGGAAGGAUUUCCACCUUUUGAAGUGAAAUUCUUUGUUGCUAAUUUUCGACAUAAUAGUUCUUUGCAAUACAACCUUUUAAUACCCGAAGAAGAUUUGAUAAUACUCGGUAUGUGCUUACCAGCAUCCUGUUCGAAGAAACAACUUUCUAUUCUUCUAAAAAACGUGUUGAGGAAAAGAAUUCUUUUGAAAGGCAAACUGUACUAAGCCGAUUUUACGUUGGUUGAAGUAAGAGAUCUAAUAGAUGACCAUCGAUGGUUAUUAAGUGGAACAUUCAUUAUAAUGACGGUAAUAGUUUUACUCACAUUCCUAUUAAUGAUAAUAGGAACGGCCUACGAUGUCCUGAUAUACCAAAAACGAUUGCAGACAACUGACAAUUUUCUUCAAGACCGUAAAAAUGUUAAUUCUCUAGCGAUAGGUUAACUUCAAACGGUAAACGAUAAUAAUAAGGAUCAACUGGAAAAAUUAGAACACCACAGUUAUUUUUAUAAAAUACUCAUAGCUUUUUCCGCAUAUUCGAACACGAAAAUAAUAUUUAGUAUUAUAUCUGAAGAUGCUGGUAUUCCGGUUAUACACGGAUUAAGAUUUCUUUCGAUGAUAUGGAUUUUUAAGCUGCAUACAGUUUACUUUUCAAUGGAUUUUUUUGACAAUAAGCCAUUGGUUAUAAGAAAAUUGGACGGUUUUAUUUUUCACGUAAUAUACAAUGGGACUCUGGCAGUAGAUACAUUCUUUUGUUUUGGUGGUUUUCUUGUCUCCUACUUGUAUUUAAAAAAAGUUAUGGGCAAUAAUAUACGGGAACCGCAUAACUAUUUAUAUGUAAUAAAAUUAUAUUUUUUCGCACUCCUAAAAAGGUUUAUUAGUGUAUGAGUUUGAGUUGAUAUUUGGCGAACGAUAUGCAAUACUUUGUCAUAGUAAAUUUGCUGUUAUUUUUAUCUUCUAGAUACUUCAAAGUAGCAGCUAGUUUGUUGGGUUUAUUGUUUACCUCAUCGAUAAUUCUUUCUGGCUAUAUAUCAUAAAUUUAUGUGUAUAUUGUACAACACUUACUAAGAUAUUAUUAUUAAUUGACGUAGAUUAUAUAGUUAAAGUUUUCAGGAAAAUAAAAAUAUGUAUACAAUAGUUGUUAAUUAAAAAUAUAUUAAUAAAUGAGAUUUUUAUAUAA